AUUGAACGCUGGCGGCAGGCCUAACACAUGCAAGUCGAGCGGACGAAGGAAACUUGCUCCUGUCUUCUGCUACCGACGGGUGAGUAAUUCCUAGGAAUCUACCUUGUCUAUGGGGCUAACGUCCGUACGCGAGCCCUGAUCCCGCAUCCGUCCUUAGUGAGAACGUCAGGGUUCUUAGGACCUCGCCCUACCAGCUGUCCCUAGGACGGAUUAGCUAGUUGGUGGGGUAAAGGCCUACCAAGGCGACGAUCCGUAACUGGUCUGAGAGGAUGAUCAGCCACACUGGAACUGAGACACGGUCCAGACUCCUACGGGAGGCAGCAGUGGGGAAUAUUGGACAAUGGGCGAAAGCCUGACCCAGCCAUGCCGCGUGUGUGAAGAAGGUCUUCGGAUUGUAAAGCACUGUAAGUUGGGAGGAAGGUCAGUAAGUGAAUACCUGGCUGUCUUGACGUUACCAACAGAAAAAGCACCGGCUAACUUCGUG
rnacentral:rRNA from 1 species